rnacentral:rRNA from 1 species
GACGAACGCUGGCGGCGUGCCUAACACAUGCAAGUCGAGCGGAAAGGCCCCUUCGGGGGUACUCGAGCGGCGAACGGGUGAGUAACACGUGGGCAACCUGCCCCUGACUCUGGGAUAACCCCGGGAAACCGGGGCUAAUACCGGAUACGACGCGGGAGGGCAUCCUCUCCGUGUGGAAAGGGUUUACUGGUCAGGGAUGGGCCCGCGGCCUAUCAGCUAGUUGGUGGGGUAGUGGCCUACCAAGGCGACGACGGGUAGCCGGCCUGAGAGGGCGACCGGCCACACUGGGACUGAGACACGGCCCAGACUCCUACGGGAGGCAGCAGUGGGGAAUAUUGCGCAAUGGGCGAAAGCCUGACGCAGCAACGCCGCGUGAGGGAUGACGGCCUUCGGGUUGUAAACCUCUUUCAGCCCCGACGAAGCGUGAGUGACUGUAGGGGAAGAAGAAGCACCGGCUAACUACGUGCCAGCAGCCGCCGUAACAC